GACGAACGCUGGCGGCGUGCUUAACACAUGCAAGUCGAACGGAAAGGCCCUGCUUUUGUGGGGUGCUCGAGUGGCGAACGGGUGAGUAACACGUGAGUAACCUGCCCUUGACUUUGGGAUAACUUCAGGAAACUGGGGCUAAUACCGGAUAGGAGCUCCUGUUGCAUGGUGGGGGUUGGAAAGUUUCGGCGGUUGGGGAUGGACUCGCGGCUUAUCAGCUUGUUGGUGGGGUAGUGGCUUACCAAGGCUUUGACGGGUAGCCGGCCUGAGAGGGUGACCGGCCACAUUGGGACUGAGAUACGGCCCAGACUCCUACGGGAGGCAGCAGUGGGGAAUAUUGCACAAUGGGCGGAAGCCUGAUGCAGCAACGCCGCGUGCGGGAUGACGGCCUUCGGGUUGUGAACCGCUUUCGCCUGUGACGAAGCGUGAGUGACGGUAAUGGGUAAAGAAGCACCGGCUAACUACGUG
rnacentral:rRNA from 1 species